UGGGCGUAAGAGCUCGUAGGCGGUUUGUCGCGUCUGCUGUGAAAUCCCGAGGCUCAACCUCGGGCUUGCAGUGGGUACGGGCAGACUAGAGUGCGGUAGGGGAGAUUGGAAUUCCUGGUGUAGCGGUGGAAUGCGCAGAUAUCAGGAGGAACACCGAUGGCGAAGGCAGAUCUCUGGGCCGUAACUGACGCUGAGGAGCGAAAGCAUGGGGAGCGAACAGGAUUAGAUACCCUGGUAGUCCAUGCCGUAAACGUUGGGCGCUAGAUGUAGGGACCUUUCCACGGUUUCUGUGUCGUAGCUAACGCAUUAAGCGCCCCGCCUGGGGAGUACGGCCGCAAGGCUAAAACUCAAAGGAAUUGACGGA
rnacentral:rRNA from 1 species